rnacentral:lncRNA from 1 species
CGUCGAGACUCCUCUACCCUGUGCUAAGGUGUAUGAGUUUCGACCCCAGAGCUCUGUGUGCUUCCAUGUUGCUGCUUUAUUUCGACCCCAGAGCGCUGGUCUGUGUGCUUUCAUGUUGCUGCCUUAUUAAAUCUUGCCUUCUACAUUUUAUGUAUGGUCUCAGUGUCUUCUUGGGUACGCGGCUGUCCCGGGACUUGAGUGUCUGAGUGAGGGUCUUCCCUCGAGGGUCUUUCAUUUGGUGCGUUGGCCGGGAAACAGCGCGACCACCCAGAGGUCCUAGACCCACUUAGAGGUAAGAUUCUUUGUUCUGCUUUGGUCUGAUGUCUGUGUUCUGAUGUCUGUGUUCUGUUUCUAAGUUUGGUGCGAUCGCAGUUUCAGUUUUGCGGACGCUCAGUGAGACCGCGCUCCGAGAGGGAGUGCGGGGUGGAUAAGGAUAGACGUGUCCAGGUGUCCACCGUCCGUUCGCCCUGGGAGACGUCCCAGGAGGAACAGGGGAGGAUCAGGGACGCCUGGUGGACCCCUUUGAAGGCCAAGAGACCAUUUGGGGUUGCGAGAUCGUGGGUUAGAGUCCCACCUCGUGCCCAGUUGCGAGAUCGUGGGUUCGAGUCCCACCUCGUGUUUUGUCACGGGAUCGUGGGUUCGAGUCCCACCUCGUGUUUUGUCACGGGAUCGUGGGUUCGAGUCCCACCUCGUGUUUUGUUGCGAGAUCGUGGGUUCGAGUCCCACCUCGCGUCUGGUCACGGGAUCGUGGGUUCGAGUCCCACCUCGUGCAGAGGGUCUCAAUUGGCCGGCCUUAGAGAGGCCAUCUGAUUCUUCUGGUUUCUUUUUUGUCUUAGUCUCGUGUCCGCUCUUGUUGUGACUACUGUUUUUCUAAAAAUGGGACAAUCUGUGUCCACUCCCCUUUCUCUGACUCUGGUUCUGUCGCUUGGUAAUUUUGUUUGUUUACGUUUGUUUUUGUGAGUCGUCUAUGUUGUCUGUUACUAUCUUGUUUUUGUUUGUGGUUUACGGUUUCUGUGUGUGUCUUGUGUGUCUCUUUGUGUUCGGACUUGGACUGAUGACUGACGACUGUUUUUAAGUUAUGCCUUCUGAAAUAAGCCUAAAAAUCCUGUCAGAUCCCUAUGCUGACCACUUCCUUUCAGAUCCUCAGCUGCCCUGCCUCCCACUCCAACUCCAGAGAGCAGCCAGCGGGUAACAGUGGUCCCGCCCAUGGACCUGGAGCCUAGGGAAAAAUGAGCUCGGAAAUCCGGAGCAAAUGAGGAGUGGUCCCUGAGAAGUCAGUGGCCUGAAUGUUGUGGCUGCUGAAGCAAAAGAAGAGGAGGCUGUUCGAGUAGCCGGCCAAGAGCGCUGCAGGUUCCCAGGCAGCUUCUCAUUCCCCUGUCCCUCCCAUCCCGUCUCUUGUUAACAGAAAAACUGCUUUCACUUUAAGAUAAGUGCCGGUUGCAGCCAGCUGUGAGAGCUGCACUCCCGUCUCUGCUCUAAAGUUCCCUCUUCUCAGAAGGUGGCACCACCCUGAGUUGCUGGCAGUGAGUCUGUUCCAAGUUCCAGUGAGGGAGGCAUCCGCCCACUUGGGGCUUCUGUCCAAGGUAAGGAGCACCUGUGAGUCUAACUGCCAGACUCUGAUGGGGGUCUCGUCUCUGUGGGACUAGAAAGUGUCCCAACAAUCUGACCAAGGUAACAGGAAGUUAAGACAAAGACAGAGAUCAGAGUCAAAAUCAGAGCUGUGCUGUGAGACAGAUAGAUAAGAGAAAUAAAAUGCUGGUCACAAAAGUCAGGAAAAUUAAAAAACUUAGAUAGUACCUGGCAACAAAAGAAAGCUUUUGGCUAAAGAUCAACGUGUAUACUGUAAAGAAAAUGAGCACUGGGUGAGAGACUGCCCC